GGUGUGUGUAUGUCUUCUCUCCCAGGUGUGUGUAUGUCUUCUCUCCCAGGUGUGUGUAUGUCUUCUCUCUCAGGUGUGUGUAUGUCUUCUCUCUCAGGUGUGUGUAUGUCUUCUCUCUCAGGUGUAUGUAUGUCUUCUCUCUCAGGUGUGUGUAUGUCUUCUCUCUCAGGUGUGUGUAUGUCUUCUCUAUCAGGUGUGUGUAUGUCUUCUCUCUCAGGUGUAUGUCUUCUCUCUCAGGUGUAUGUCUUCUCUCUCAGGUGUAUGUCUUCUCUCUCAGGUGUAUGUCUUCUCUCUCAGGUGUGUGUAUGUCUUCUCUCUCAGGUGUAUGUCUUCUCUCUCAGGUGUGUGUAUGUCUUCUCUCCCAGGUGUGUGUAUGUCUUCUCUCCCAGGUGUGUGUAUGUCUUCUCUCCCAGGUGUAUGUAUGUCUUCUCUCUCAGGUGUGUGUAUGUCUUCUCUCUCAGGUGUGUGUAUGUCUUCUCUC
ensembl:lncRNA